AUAUUAUGGUGUGGACACUUUCUCAGAAAAUCAUUGUAUCUCUCCCAGGCAUCAUGGAACUAUUCACCAGGGAUUUGGGAGAACGCCGUGAUCUCUCUUCUCAUUU